UACGGAGGAUCCGAGCGUUAUCCGGAUUUAUUGGGUUUAAAGGGUGCGCAGGCGGGGGAUUAAGUCGGCGGUGAAAUUUUGCAGCUCAACUGUAAAAGUGCCUUCGAAACUGGUUUCCUUGAGUGUGGAUGAGGUAGGCGGAAUUUGUGGUGUAGCGGUGAAAUGCAUAGAUAUCACGAGGAACUCCGAUUGCGUAGGCAGCUUACUAAACCAUAACUGACGCUCAAGCACGAAGGCGUGGGGAUCAAACAGGAUUAGAUACCCUGGUAGUCCCU
rnacentral:rRNA from 1 species